GUGAGGAAUAUUGGUCAAUGGACGAGAGUCUGAACCAGCCAAGUAGCGUGAAGGAUGAAGGUUCUAUGGAUUGUAAACUUCUUUUAUACGGGAAUAAACGGAUCCACGUGUGGAUUUUUGCAUGUACCGUAUGAAUAAGGAUCGGCUAACUCCGUGCCAGCAGCCGCGGUAAUACGGAGGAUCCGAGCGUUAUCCGGAUUUAUUGGGUUUAAAGGGAGCGUAGAUGGGUUGUUAAGUCAGUUGUGAAAGUUUGCGGCUCAACCGUAAAAUUGCAAUUGAUACUGGCAGUCUUGAGUACAGUUGAGGUAGGCGGAAUUCGUGGUGUAGCGGUGAAAUGCUUAGAUAUCACGAAGAACUCCGAUUGCGAAGGCAGCUUACUAACCUGUAACUGACAUUGAUGCUCGAAAGUGUGGGUAUCAAACAGGAUUAGAUACCCCGGUAGUCC
rnacentral:rRNA from 1 species